UACAGAGGGUGCAAACGUUGCUCGGAAUCAUUGGGCGUAAAGCGCACGUAGGCGGUCCAGCAAGCGGGGAGUGAAAGCCCUCGGCUUAACCGGAGGAAGUGCUUUCCGAACUACUGGACUUGAGUACUUAAGAGGAUCGCGGAAUUCCCGGUGUAGAGGUGAAAUUCGUAGAUAUCGGGAAGGAACACCAGUGGCGAAGGCGGCGAUCUGGGA
rnacentral:rRNA from 1 species